rnacentral:rRNA from 1 species
UACGUAGGGUGCAAGCGUUGUCCGGAAUCAUUGGGCGUAAAGCGCGCGUAGGCGGCCCGAUAAGUCCGCUGUAAAAGUCAACGGCUCAACUGUUGAAAGCCGGUGGAUACUGUCGGGCUAGAGUACGGAAGAGGCAAGUGGAAUUCCUGGUGUAGCGGUGGAAUGCGCAGAUAUCAGGAGGAACCCCUAUAGCGAAGGCAGCUUGCUGGGACGUUACUGACGCUAAGGCGCGAAAGCGUGGGGAGCGAACAGG